AGUAGGGGGCGUUAGGAGCUGAGUUCCGGGUGGUCAGGUGUUUCGCAUGAGUGUCAUCAGCUGGAGGACUAUAAGAAGGAGGCGAGCCAGUAUUUCGACGCCUGAAUGUUUUGCCUCUUCGUGGUUGACCAAGCCUCGUUCGUGAGAGAUAUCAGAAGGAAUUUACCAACAGUUUUUAAGGACUCUGGAUUCUUGUUUUGUUCCGCUGGCAGCCAGAUCUGACGCUGUCCUCACAGCUUCAAGCGAACCCUGUCCACCCUCCACCAUAACUCUCAGGACUCUCCUGCUACGGCAGUGUUGCAUAGCCCGCCGUUCACCAGGAUCACAACCUCUCUCCCUGGCGGACUUAACCCUACCCAAUUCUCUCUGCUACUUCUGUUUCCUGCACCUGAGCCUGAAAAUAUCUCUGUUUUAAUCGUGUUUUUCUGCAUGUGGGUCAAGUCGGCCAUCAACAAUAUGACAGGCUGCACGUGAUCUCUUGAUUGUAAGAUGUCUAAAAUAAAUUUGCUGAAGACGCACAUAAAACAGGUUAAUAAUUAG